rnacentral:misc_RNA from 1 species
UGAAACUGUAAAUCGUCGUCUCCCGGGAUCGAGGACGUGAGAACUGUAUCUGCGUCUGGUCUCCGGUAGGUAAGCAAACCGGGCCGAACGAGAGACAGGGACGAGAAGUUGAAGAGGAGAGGAGAGAAAGGGGAGACUCGACCGCACGCACAGCUGCGGUUACGCAUUUCGCGCAAUGCUUCUUCGCUGUACUCUCUGCAGAACCUCGGGAGAACGGCCCACGCCAACGAUCGAUUCCCUUCGAUGACAAACGAACGUUUCUUUUCAGAAACGACCGUCGAGAGAUAGCACUUGUAACCGCCUCGUGGGGAAACCUUUGACUUUGCGACGAUCCCCCGCCAAAAUGGAAAACACGAACAACGAUACACGGAUACGGUGAAUUUCUCAGUUUCUCGAUUGCUCGAAAACUUCGUCGUCUGUUUCGCGUCAGCAUCAAGAAUCGACAAGAAAACAAUUCGCAAAGACCAACCACUUCCCCC